rnacentral:lncRNA from 1 species
UGAGGCUGGUAUGUUUUUGAAAAUACGAAGUCUUUCGUAUUUACAAGUCAUUUUCGAUGUUGGAACUUUCAAAUCGACGAUCGGUUCCGUUAGACUUAAUCUAGAGUAUUUGAAAUAUCUAGAAAAUAAAUUUUGUGAUUUUUUGAUAUCGUUUGCCUAUUGAUCAAAGGGGCUUAAAAUCAACGGCUGAAAAUAAAAACCUUAUAAAAUGUGAUGAUAUGACAUUAAAAUUUUAGAUCAAAAAUGUUGAUCUUGUUUUAUAUAGUAUAAAAAAUUUUCAAUCAAAAUUUACGUGAUUUGAAUAUUUUUACACCGUUAUACUUGCAAAUGGCU